AGUAUGCCUCGUGGGAUUGGAAAAUGCACGUACCGUAUUACCUGGUAGCUUCCGUAGUCUCACCUACGUUGUGAACGUAAAUACGAAGAGAGCUUCUACGGACGUUAAAGAGGGGCCAUUAAAGAUUUACGACGUCACUGGACGGAAAUGCGGCUAUCUGGAUCGAUUCCUAGAGGUACUAAAAAGUACAUAGAACAUUUGUAGCAGCAUAAAGUGUAUCCAGCCACCUGGUACAACGUCAAAGCGAAACAGAAGCAGCAAACUCGAAUGGCA